rnacentral:lncRNA from 1 species
UUUCUGUCUGCUGCCCAGCUGUAUCCUAACCCUGUCUGUCUGCUACCCAGCUGUAUCCUAAACCUGUCUGUCUGCUACCCAGCUGUAUCCUAACCCUGUCUGUCUGCUGCCCAGCUGUAUCCUAACCCUGUCUGUCUGCUGCCCAGCUGUAUCCUAACCCUGUCUCCUGUCUAUCUGCAACCCAGCUCUAUCCUAACCCUGUCUGUCUGUUACCCAGCUGUAUCCUAACCCUGUCUCCUGUCUGUCUGCUUCCCAGCUGUAUCCUAACCCUGUCUGUCUGUUACCCAGCUGUAUCCUAACCCUGUCUCCUGUCUGUCUGCUACCCAGCUGUAUCCUAACCCUGUCUCCUGUCUGUCUGCUACCCAGCUGUAUCCUAACCCUGUCUGUCUGCUACACAGCUGUAUCCUAACCCUGUCUGUCUGCUACCCAGCUGUAUCCUAACCCUGUCUGUCUGCUACCCAGCUGUAUCCUAACCCUGUCUCCUGUCUGUCUGCUACCCAGCUGUAUCCUAACCCUGUCUCCUGUCUGUCUGCUACCCAGCUGUAUCCUAACCCUGUCUGUCUGCUACUCAGCUGUAUCCUAACCCUGUCUGUCUGCUGCCCAGCUGUAUCCUAACCCUGUCUCCUGUCUGUCUGCUACCCAGCUGUAUCCUAACCCUGUCUCCUGUCUGUCUGCUACCCCGCUGUAUCCUAACCCUGUCUCCUGUCUGUCUGCUACCCAGCUGUAUCCUAACCCUGUCUGUCUGCUACCCAGCUGUGCCAGUGCUUCCAGUGAUGGGAGGGAUGAUACCCCCUAUACCCACAAUGCCAAGCCCUUCCCACCAUCAGUACCACCAGCUUCCUGCCUCGCCCUCUGCUGGCCGCCACCCCUAUCACACCCAACCUACCUCUCCUGCCUCACCCCCUGCUGCCUACCCCCCCUACCACACCCAGCCUACCUCUCCUGCCUCGCCCCCUGCUGCCCGCCACCCCUACCACACCCAGCCUCCUGCUCGGGCUCCUUCAGCUCCCCCAACCACUACUGCUACACCCCCUGCUGCCCCUCCCCUUGCCAUGCCCCCCCUCCAUGGGAUGCCACUCAUGCCUUCCAUGCCAGGCCUACCUCUGAUGCCAGGUGUGAUGCCAGGUUCUCCAGAACAGACAGGGAUGGCUCAGCAGCAACAGACCAUCAUCAACCAGCAAGCCAUCAUACUGGCCCAGCAGAUGACCAUGCAGGCCAUGGCUUUCCAGCAGCAGAUGUUGUCUUCCUUCCCCCUCGCCCCCCAGGCCCCUCCCACACAACCACCACCCCGCACCUCCAGCCAUGUGAGGACACACACACACACACACACACACACACACACACACACACACACACACACACACACACACACACACACACACACACACACACAUUUUAAAUACUUACCUUAAAUAAAUACU